rnacentral:rRNA from 1 species
CCUACGGGAGGCUGCAGUGGGGAAUAUUGCACAAUGGGGGAAACCCUGAUGCAGCGACGCCGCGUGAGUGAAGAAGUAUCUCGGUACGUAAAGCUCUAUCAGCAGGAAAGAAAAUGACGGUACCUGACUAAGACUCCCCGUCUAACUACGUGCCAGCAGCCGCGGUAAUACGUAGGGGGCAAGCGUUAUCCGGAUUUACUGGGUGUAAAGGGGGCGUAGACGGCGCUGCAAGUCCGGAGUGAAAGCCCAGGGCUUAACCAUGGUACUGCUCUGGAAACUGUAGAGCUUGAGGGCGGGAGGGGCAGGCGGAAUUCCUAGUGUAGCGGUGAAAUGCGUAGAUAUUAGGAGGAACACCGGCGGCGAAGGCGGCCUGCUGGACCGUAACUGACGUUGAGGCUCGAAAGCGUGGGGAGCAAACAGGAGUAGAUACCCGAGUAGUC